rnacentral:rRNA from 1 species
GGGCCCGCACAAGCGGUGGAGCAUGUGGUUUAAUUCGAUGAUACGCGAGGAACCUUACCAGGGCUUAAAUGUAAGUUGCAUUAGUUAGAGAUAGCUAUUUCUUCGGACCACUUACAAGGUGCUGCAUGGUUGUCGUCAGCUCGUGCCGUGAGGUGUCAGGUUAAGUCCUAUAACGAGCGCAACCCCUGUUGUUAGUUGCCAGCGAGUCAUGUCGGGAACUCUAACAAGACUGCCGGUGCAAACCGUGAGGAAGGUGGGGAUGACGUCAAAUCAUCACGGCCCUUACGUCCUGGGCUACACACGUGCUACAAUGGUCGGUACAGAGAGCAGCCACUACGCGAGUAGGAGCGAAUCUUCAAAGCCGAUCACAGUUCGGAUUGGAGGCUGCAACUCGCCUCCAUG